rnacentral:sRNA from 1 species
AAGGAUGAGAAGCUUCGACUAAGGUUCGAUUCGAGCGAAAGCGAGAAAGCGUUGCCGCAGGCAACGACCCGAAGGGCGAAGCGCGCAGCGCUGAGUCAUCCUU